rnacentral:tRNA from 1 species
GGCCUGUUAGCUCAGCUGGUUAGAGCGUGGUGCUAAUAACACCAAGAUCGUGGGUUCGAUUCCCACAUGGGCCA